rnacentral:rRNA from 1 species
CACGUAGGGGCGAGCGUUGUCCGGAAUUACUGGGCGUAAAGGGCGCGCAGGCUGUUAUGCGAGUCUGCUGUGAAAUGUACCGGCUCAACCGGUGCCUUGCGGCGGAUACUGCAUAGCUGGAGUACUGGAGAGGGAAGUGGAAUUCCCGGUGUAGCGGUGGAAUGCGCAGAGAUCAGGAGGAAUACCGAAGGCGAAGGCAGUCUUCCAAGCCGUUAUUGACGCUCAACUGCGAAGGUGUGGGUAUCAAACAGGAUUAGA